GAUGAACGCUGGCGGCGUGCCUAAUACAUGCAAGUCGAGCGAACGGACGAGAAGCUUGCUUUUCUGAUGUUAGCGGCGGACGGGUGAGUAACACGUGGAUAACCUACCUAUAAGACUGGGAUAACUUCGGGAAACCGGAGCUAAUACCGGAUAAUAUUUUGAACCGCAUGGUUCAAAAGUGGAAGACGGUCUUGCUGUCACUUAUAGAUGGAUCCGCGCUGCAUUAGCUAGUUGGUAAGGUAACGGCUUACCAAGGCAACGAUGCAUAGCCGACCUGAGAGGGUGAUCGGCCACACUGGAACUGAGACACGGUCCAGACUCCUACGGGAGGCAGCAGUAGGGAAUCUUCCGCAAUGGGCGAAAGCCUGACGGAGCAACGCCGCGUGAGUGAUGAAGGUCUUCGGAUCGUAAAACUCUGUUAUUAGGGAAGAACAUAUGUGUAAGCAACUGUGCACAUCUUGACGGUACCUAAUCAGAAAGCCACGGCUAACUACGUG
rnacentral:rRNA from 1 species